GUCCCCACACGGGAACAAGGGCAGAGUCACUUGGUUCCAGGCAGAGGAGCUUCUGAGGCUGGCCCAGGACACCCAGUGCCCCAGCACUCCACUCCACAACAUUCAGCUGGCUCUGCUCAGGGAGUGCCCCCCUGCUCCUGAGCUGCCAAUUCUGGCUGUGGCCCCAGAGCCACCCCCCAUGGAAGUUGCCCCCCCAUCUGAAGAGGUCUGCUGCCUGUGGUUCAUUCAAAUUCUACUUUACCUCUUGUGGAACUUGGUGUUCUCUUAAUGCGGUCUGAAUAAAGUGUUGUUCUAUGGA